rnacentral:rRNA from 1 species
UCAAUUGUUUUAUAAUUGAAGACUGGAAUGAAUGGUUUGAUGAAAUUGAGACUGUCUUAUUUAUAUUUAUUAGAAAUUGGCUUUUAAAUGAAGAGAUUUAAAUGUAAUUGAUAGACAAGAAGACCCUAUUGAGCUUGAAGUAAUUUUAAAGAUAUGUUUUAUUUGUGAAAAUAUAGGUUUUAGAUUUUUUUUGGUUGGGGCGACUGAGGAGUAGAUGAAGCUUCCUUUUAAAUAAUAAAUUGUUGAGUUUUGAUCCAAUAUGAUUGAUUAAAAGAGAUAGUUACCAUAGGGAUAACAGCAUAAUCUUCUUUGAGAGUUCAUAUCGAAAAGAGGGGUUGUGACCUCGAUGUUGGACUAAAAUAUCCUAUAAAUGUAGUAGU